AGGACGAACGCUGGCGGCGUGCUUAACACAUGCAAGUCGAGCGGAAAGGCCCUUCGGGGUACUCGAGCGGCGAACGGGUGAGUAACACGUGAGCAAUCUGCCUUUAGCUCUGGGAUAGCUCCGGGAAACCGGGAUUAAUACCGGAUAAGACCACUUUAGACAUCUGUUGUGGUGGAAAGAAUUUCGGCUAGAGAUGAGCUCGCGGCCUAUCAGCUUGUUGGUGGGUAACGCCCACCAAGGCGACGACGGGUA
rnacentral:rRNA from 1 species